UACGUAGGGGGCGAGCGUUGUCCGGAUUUAUUGGGCGUAAAGAGCUCGUAGGCGGUUGGGUAAGUCGGGUGUGAAAACUCAGGGCUCAACCUGGAGACGCCACCCGAUACUGUCAUGACUAGAGUCCGGUAGGGGAGCGUGGAAUUCCUGGUGUAGCGGUGAAAUGCGCAGAUAUCAGGAGGAACACCAGCGGCGAAGGCGGCGCUCUGGGCCGGUACUGACGCUGAGGAGCGAAAGCGUGGGUAGCAAACAGG
rnacentral:rRNA from 1 species